CCCGGGUUGNACUCAGAUCACUUCGCCUGUUUAACAAAAACAUUUCUCUCUGAGGUUAGAUGGAGAGUAGGGCCUGCCCGGUGAUAUAGUAAACGGCUGCGGUAUUUUGACCGUACGAAGGUAGCAUAAUAAGUUGUCUUUUAAUUGGAGACUGGUAUGAAUGGCAAGAUAAGAGAGUUACUGUAUAGAAAUAACUAUAGAAUUUGAUUAUUGAGUAAAAAGGCUCAGAUAUUUCAAAGUGACAAGAAGACCCUAAGAGUUUUAUUUUUAUGUGAGAAAUAAUUCAAUGUGGAGUAUUGUAUUUUUUUAUAUAAAGGUUUAGCUGGGGCGGUUGAAAUAAUUAACUAUUGGUGAUUAGUACAAGAAUAGGUGAAAUGAUAAUAAGAACUAUAUCCUAAUUAGGAAAUCGAGAAUAAUUACCUUAGGGAUAACAGCAUAAUCUUUUUUGAGAGACCGAAUUGACAGAAAGGUUUGUGACCUCGAUGUUGGAUUUAGAUAAUUACAAGGAGCAGCAUUUUUGUAAAUUGGUUUGUUCAACCAUUAAAUUCUAACGUGAUCUGAGUUCAAACCCANGAA
rnacentral:rRNA from 1 species